rnacentral:misc_RNA from 1 species
GCAUUGCAGCAAAGGGCACCGGCGGCGGCGGCCGCGGCUGCGGAGGCGGCCGGGGGAGAGAAGAGCCCGGGCGGGUGGGAGUAGGGGCCCUCCCUCCCCAGCCGGACGCAGGACCUGGGGCUGGGGACCCCGCACGUACACCUGUGGCCGCAGCAGCCAAACUACUGGAGUUUCAAGACCCGCAGCUCACGCCACACUCAGGGAGCCCAGCCCGGGCUGGCAGACCAGGCGGCAAAGCUGUCCUACGCCUCCGCCGAGUCGCUGGAGACCAUGUCGGAGGCCGAGCUGCCCCUGGGCUUCAGCAGGAUGAACCGCUUCCGACAGAGCCUGCCUCUCUCCCGCUCGGCCAGCCAGACCAAGCUGCGCUCCCCAGGGGUGCUGUUCCUGCAGUUCGGGGAGGAGACUCGGCGCGUGCACAUCACGCACGAGGUCAGCAGCCUGGACACGCUGCACGCACUCAUCGCGCACAUGUUCCCGCAGAAGCUCACCAUGGGCAUGCUUAAGUCGCCCAAUACCGCCAUCCUCAUCAAAGACGAGGCUCGCAACGUCUUCUACGAGCUGGAGGACGUCCGGGACAUCCAGGACCGCAGUAUUAUCAAGAUCUACAGAAAGGAGCCCCUCUACGCUGCCUUCCCUGGCUCACAUCUCACCAACGGGGACCUCCGGAGAGAGAUGGUGUACGCAUCGCGGGAGUCCUCGCCCACGCGGCGCCUCAACAACCUGUCACCAGCGCCGCACCUGGCAUCCGGCUCGCCGCCGCCCGGGCUGCCGUCGGGGCUGCCGUCCGGGCUGCAGUCCGGUUCGCCGUCGCGUUCGCGCCUAUCGUACGCCGGGGGGCGCCCGCCUUCGUACGCCGGCAGCCCGGUGCACCACGCGGCCGAGAGGCUGGGAGGCGCCCCGGCCGCCCAGGGCGUCAGCCCCAGCCCCAGCGCCAUCCUGGAGCGGCGCGACGUGAAGCCGGACGAGGACCUGGCGAGCAAGGCGGGCGGCAUGGUGCUGGUGAAAGGCGAGGGCCUCUAUGCUGACCCCUACGGGCUGCUGCACGAGGGCCGUCUGAGCCUGGCCGCGGCCGCCGGCGACCCGUUCGCCUACCCGGGCGCCGGCGGCCUCUACAAGCGCGGCUCGGUGCGCUCGCUCAGCACCUACUCGGCCGCCGCGCUGCAGUCCGAUCUGGAGGACUCCCUGUACAAGGCGGCGGGCGGCGGCGGCCCGCUGUACGGCGACGGCUACGGCUUCCGCCUGCCGCCUUCGUCACCGCAGAAGCUGGCCGACGUGGCAGCACCCCCCGGAGGUCCCCCGCCACCGCACAGCCCCUACUCGGGGCCGCCCAGCCGCGGCUCGCCAGUGCGCCAGUCCUUCCGCAAGGACUCGGGCUCCUCGUCCGUCUUUGCCGAGAGUCCUGGAGGGAAGACCCGCAGCGCGGGGAGCGCCUCGACGGCCGGAGCUCCCCCUUCGGAGCUCUUCCCUGGGCCUGGGGAACGCUCGCUGGUUGGGUUCGGGCCGCCAGUGCCAGCCAAGGACACGGAGACCAGGGAGCGCAUGGAGGCCAUGGAGAAGCAGAUUGCCAGCCUCACAGGCCUGGUGCAGAGCGCCUUACUGCGAGGCUCUGAGCCUGAGACCCCCAGCGAGAAGAUUGAAGGCUCCAAUGGAGCAGCCACCCCCUCAGCACCCUGUGGGUCAGGCGGCCGGAGCAGCGGGGCCACCCCGGUGUCCGGCCCGCCCCCGCCCUCGGCCAGCAGCACCCCCGCAGGUCAGCCUACCGCCGUUAGCCGGCUGCAGAUGCAGCUUCACCUGCGAGGCCUGCAGAACAGCGCCAGUGACUUGCGCGGCCAGCUCCAGCAGUUGCGCAAGCUCCAGCUACAGAACCAGGAGUCGGUGCGCGCGCUGCUGAAGCGCACGGAGGCAGAGCUGAGCAUGCGCGUGUCGGAGGCGGCGCGGCGGCAGGAGGACCCGCUGCAGCGGCAGCGCACCCUGGUGGAAGAGGAACGGCUGCGCUAUCUCAACGACGAGGAGCUUAUUACCCAGCAGCUCAAUGACCUGGAGAAAUCGGUGGAGAAGAUCCAGAGAGACGUGUCCCACAACCACCGGCUGGUGCCCGGCCCUGAGCUGGAGGAGAAGGCACUGGUGCUGAAGCAGCUCGGGGAGACGCUGACAGAGCUCAAGGCUCACUUCCCGGGCCUGCAGAGCAAGAUGCGGGUGGUGCUGCGCGUGGAGGUGGAGGCGGUGAAGUUCCUGAAGGAGGAGCCCCAGCGCCUGGAUGGGCUCCUCAAGCGCUGCCGCGGGGUCACGGACACGCUGGCCCAGAUCCGAAGGCAAGUGGAUGAGGGUGUGUGGCCACCCCCCAACAAUCUCCUGAGUCAGUCCCCCAAGAAGGUGACGGCAGAGACUGACUUCAACAAGAGCGUGGACUUCGAAAUGCCACCCCCCAGCCCCCCGCUGAACCUGCAUGAGCUGAGCGGGCCAGCUGAAGGAGCCUCUCUUACCCCCAAGGGGGGCAACCCCACCAAAGGCCUGGACACUCCUGGCAAGAGAAGCGUGGACAAAGCUGUGUCUGUUGAGGCUGCAGAGCGAGACUGGGAGGAGAAGCGGGCAGCCCUGACCCAGUACAGUGCCAAGGACAUCAACCGGCUGCUGGAAGAGACACAGGCAGAGCUGCUCAAGGCCAUCCCUGACCUGGACUGUGCCAGCAAGGCCCAUCCAGGCCCGGCCCCCACUCCAGAUCACAAGCCCCCCAAGGCCCCCCACGGCCAGAAGGCAGCCCCCCGAACGGAGCCCAGUGGGAGGAGGGGCUCAGAUGAGUUGACCGUGCCCCGAUACCGCACAGAGAAGCCCUCCAAGUCGCCCCCACCGCCCCCUCCCCGCCGGAGCUUCCCCUCCUCCCAUGGCCUGACCACCACACGUACCGGAGAGGUGGUGGUCACCAGCAAGAAGGACUCGGCCUUCAUCAAGAAGGCUGAGUCCGAGGAGCUGGAGGUGCAGAAGCCCCAGGUGAAGCUGCGCCGGGCUGUGUCUGAGGUGGCCCGCCCAGCCUCCACACCACCCAUCAUGGCCUCGGCCAUCAAGGACGAGGAUGACGAGGAUCGCAUCAUCGCAGAGCUAGAGGUGUUUGAGAGAAGCUCAGUGUCUUCCCUCCCCCCCACGCCCCGCCGCCAGCUGAUCCCCACCUUGCUGUCCCCCCAGGACCUGGGGCCCCCCGGGGGCUCAGCCCCAGGCCCUACACGGAAGAGUGGCGGAGGCAGUGUACCACCCAUGAAGGUGGUGACUCCGGGGGCCUCUCGGCUGAAGGCGGCCCAGGGCCAGGCGGGCAGCCCCGACAAAAGCAAACAUGGCAAGCAGAGGGCCGAGUACAUGCGGAUCCAGGCCCAGCAGCAGGUCUAAUGAGCAGGCGCGGAGGCUGUGUGGAGAGUGGACAUACCUCACCUGUGGGUGUUUACUGCCCUUGUGGCCUGGUCAGAGGCUGCAGGGUGGCUCCUGGACCCAGAUGUUGUGAGAGACCCUUAGUGCACUCGUUUGAUUUAGUUAAUAUUUAUGAGCAGCUCCUGUAUGACAGGCCCAUUCUGGGUGUGAGGGUGGGGGCUGUGAUAUGUCCAGAUGCUCUCACUUAAAGAAGGUUCUAGACUCAGAGGCAAGACGUUAGAGAAGGUUCUAGACUCAGAGGCAAGAGGUUAGAGAUGGGUGAGUCCAUCUCUUUUUCAGAUGAGGGGGCAGCUCAGAGGAGGAGAGGGGCUUCCCAAAGGUGCACAGCAAGGUGGCAUCACAGCCAGGAUCGGGACCUAGGAAUCUUGGAACCCUUCCCUGCACUGGCCCUGGGACAGCCCUGGGCACCCAAGGCCCUGCCUCCCUACUGGCUCCCAGGAGAAUUUCUCAAAAAGCAGCCCUCCAGCCCCCCGCAGCCUCUCCACAGCUCCCACCUGCCUCCUCAUGGCCCCCAGACACCCUGCGAGCCCCACCUCCAGAUCUUUUUCCUGCCACUGCCAGGGAUGAGUUCCCCUUGUCCUGUCCGGGCUGGACCCUCCUGGGUGCCCAGCAGAGCAGCUGACACUGACAGAGCUUUCGCUGGGGCCAGGCAUGCGCAUUAUCUCAUCUCACACUCACCACACUGAGGAAGGUCUAUUACCCCCAUGUGACGGGGGCGGAAACUGAGGCUUAAUCCAAGGCCACACGGCUAGCAAGUGGGGGGCAGGACACAAGUCCAGACUGCCUCCCUCCCCACCACAAAGUGCUUCAGCCUCUCCAGCAGCCCCUUCCCUCAGCUCUAAUGAUGUUGCACUGUUUCCCACCCUAGUCCCUCCCUCCCCAGAGCCCAGCUCCUCCGCUGUGGUGUCAGCCUCAUGCCUUUAUGGCCCAGCCUCCACCCCAUCUCCGGGGUUGCCUGGGUCUCCAGUGACAUCGAGAUGGGCUCUUUUCACCCCCCUCCCCCACUGCUCUGCAGCAUGUGGCCUUGUAGACCCCCCCCACACCUGCAUAGGGCUGUGCAGACCCUCUGUUCCUCAGCAUCCUCUCCCCAGCCUCCACCUGGAGCCUCUGGGCUCCUUUCUGGGUGACUCCCUCUAUUUUUUGAGACGGAGUCUUGCUCUGUCUCCCAGGCUGGAGUCCAGUGGUGUGAUCUCAGCUCACUGCAGCCUCCGCCUCCUGGGUUCAAGUGAUUCUCGUGCCUCAGCCUCCCGAGCAGCUGAGACUACAGGCUAAUUACCACACUGGCUAAUUUUUGUAUUUUUAGUAGAGACGGGGUUUCACCAUGUUGGCCAGGCUGGUCUCAAACUCCUGAGCUCAGGUGAUCCUCCCACCUCAGCCUCCCAAAGUGCUGGGAUUACAGGCGUGAGCCAUUGCACCCUGCCUGGGCGACUCUCCUUUGCCUGCCUCUUCCCUUCCUGUGCCCCACUCCUCAGCCUCUUCUCCUCACACCAUGCCUUCCUCUCCUCAGGCACCAGGUGCACUGCUUAGUCCCUGCCCCCACCCAGGUCUCCAUUCUGAGCUCCAGUCACCCACACACGCUUCCCCGGGCAUCCCCAGGCUCCUCGAAUGCGUGUGUCCAGACAUAAUGCUCCCCCGACCACGCUGCCCCAGCCGGUACGAGGCUGCCCCAGCUGCUGUCUCCCUCAGGAAGGGUCGCCCACCCCCAGCCUUCCCAAGCCCCUCCGUGCCCCUGUCUCACUUCCAGUGCUCCAGUAGCCUUUCUUAUAAACAUGGCUUCUUUCUUGUAAAGUAAUAAAUGUUUACAGUGG